GCUCCUGUACGGUGUACAUUUUAGGACAUCGUCAGGUAUCAGAAAAAAAAUUGUCAGGUGUCAGUUGUCAAAAAAAAAAAAUUGUCAGGUAUCAGAAAAAAAAUUGUCAGGUGUCAGAAAAAAAGUUGUCAGGUGUCAGAAAAAAAGUUGUCAGGUGUCAGAAAAAAAAUUGUCAGGUGUCAGAAAAAAAAUUGUCAGGUGUCAGAAAAAAAGUUGUCAGGUGUCAGAAAAAAAAUUGUCAGGUGUCAGAAAAAAAGUUGUCAGGUGUCAGAAAAAAAAUUGUCAGGUGUCAGAAAAAAAAUUGUCAGGUGUCAGAAAAAAAGUUGUCAGGUGUCAGAAAAAAAAUUGUCAGGUGUCAGAAAAAAAAUUGUCAGGUGUUAGAAAAAAAAUUGUCAGGUGUCAGAAAAAAAGUUGUCAGGUGUCAGAACACAAGGUACCAGAGAGAAAAUCUUCCUGCAGGUGGCGCUGUUGUCAUGUCCCACCCGAAUUGAUUUCCAAAUACGUCAUCAACGUGUGACCGUGGGAGAGCGUAAGGUCAUUGACCUCACCGGAGUUUUACCGUGGUUCAGGCUCCUAACGACACAAGGUAAGUUUAACUUUUUCUCCCUUUUGUUCAUAUUUUUGCCACAGUUGUGUUAUAUUAAGUUGCAGUUAUGUUGUGAAAGUUACAUAUCAGAGACGGAAAGCCAGUUUUGUACGAAACCAAAUCAGUACUAUUUUUGUCUGGCUAAUUCAUUCUAGCUAGCGACAGUGGUGAAACGUGAUUCAAAUUUAAACUGUUCAGUAAUUGUUUUGUAUACAUUUCAGCAAAUGGACAAGCUGAAAGCUUACGAGCAGCUUAAAAAAGACCUUGAAAAUGGUGAGAUUACCCAAAAAGGCUUUGAUAACAACAUAAAAAAGCUCCUGACAGCAGAAAAAUCAGAUGACACUACUUCAACACGUGGCAAUGAAUUUCUCAGUGCAGCAGAGGCCUUUGGUAAAGCCAAGAAACUACUACAGCCUCAAGUAAAGAAAAGGCAGUUUCCACUGAAUGAUAAACGUUUGGACCAUGCCAAAUCAUUAUUGAAGGUCAGACUGGCUCCCAUGGAGUGGAAGCCAAGAACUCAUAGAAAGUGUGGACGGUACCAGAAGUUAAUAAUGGACGAAGCUCCACCUCGAAUCAUUCUUCAAGGCCAUGAAACCUAUGAUGAUUUAAUUACCAUAGGCAAAGAACGCUUCUGGCCAGAGCGUACUGAGGGGAGUGAGUUCACUCUUUGCCAUUCUGACGGGACCAGGUGGAGUAAGCAGGAGUUCCACAAAGAAUACGGAACUGUUUCUGAUAUUACACAUAUGUGGAAAAGAACAAUAUACAUCGGGCGACGACAACUGGAGGUCGUGUGUUUGGAUGAUCAAAGUUCCAUCUCAGAUGAAGACCCUGUAACUAAAGUGGGUGGUGAUGAAAGUUGCAGUUUAGAUGAACUUCCUGAAACCCUCAUAGGACAAAGUGUUGCAGAACAGUGUAUCUUCCACGUGUUCCAUAUGUGGAAGAGGCUUUAAUUACAUACAGUGAGGACAAUCUACUGGGAGAAGGAACAUUUGGCAAGGUAUAUAGAGGUUCUUUUCAUGGUACUCCAGCAGCUGUUAAAAGGAUCAUGUGUGGCCAACAAGGGAUGGAGGACAGCGACAUUCAUCAUGAGAUAAAUGUUUCACUGAGACUGUCUCACCCCAACAUCGUCAGACUCAUGGCAGUUGCCCGCACUGAGUCCUGCUUUUUGUUGGCAGCUGAAUACAUUCAUGGCGCAACCCUGCAGCAAGUGCUUCACACAGACAGCUGCUUGGUGAAGCUUGAAGGGGAUGAUGCCGGUUUCAUAUCACUGGACUUAUCCAUGGCAGUAGAGUACAUCCAUGCACAGAGAAUCAUUCACCAGGAUAUAAAGCCAGCAAAUGUCAUGGUUCACCACCCUUCUAAAAAGGCAGUCCUGACAGACUGGGGCAUGGCAAACAUAAGAGACACUGUGAUGCUUCGUCAAGGGAGUAAGUUCACUGCCCAGG
ensembl:lncRNA